GACGAACGCUGGCGGCGUGCUUAACACAUGCAAGUCGAACGGAAAGGCCCUGCUUUUGUGGGGUGCUCGAGUGGCGAACGGGUGAGUAACACGUGAGUAACCUGCCCUUGACUUUGGGAUAACUUCAGGAAACUGGGGCUAAUACCGGAUAGGAGCUCCUGCUGCAUGGUGGGGGUUGGAAAGUUUCGGCGGUUGGGGAUGGACUCGCGGCUUAUCAGCUUGUUGGUGGGGUAGUGGCUUACCAAGGCUUUGACGGGUAGCCGGCCUGAGAGGGUGACCGGCCACCCGGGAACGGAGACAGGGACAAGAGGCCUACGGGAGGCAGCAGCAGGGAAUCGUCCGCACCGGGCGAGAGCCUGACGGAGCAGCGGCGCGCGAGUGAUGGAGGUCCUCGGAUCGUAAAGCGGGGUUAGGAGGGAAGAACAUAUUUGUAAGGAACUGUGCACAGCGUGACGGUAACUAAUCAGAAAGCCACGGCUAACUACGUG
rnacentral:rRNA from 1 species